rnacentral:rRNA from 1 species
GUUAAGCGACUAAGCGUACACGGUGGAUGCCCUGGCAGUCAGAGGCGAUGAAGGACGUGCUAAUCUGCGAUAAGCGUCGGUAAGGUGAUAUGAACCGUUAUAACCGGCGAUUUCCGAAUGGGGAAACCCAGUGUGUUUCGACACACUAUCAUUAACUGAAUCCAUAGGUUAAUGAGGCGAACCGGGGGAACUGAAACAUCUAAGUACCCCGAGGAAAAGAAAUCAACCGAGAUUCCCCCAGUAGCGGCGAGCGAACGGGGAGCAGCCCAGAGCCUGAAUCAGUGUGUGUGUUAGUGGAAGCGUCUGGAAAGGCGCGCGAUACAGGGUGACAGCCCCGUACACAAAAAUGCACAUGCUGUGAGCUCGAUGAGUAGGGCGGGACACGUGGUAUCCUGUCUGAAUAUGGGGGGACCAUCCUCCAAGGCUAAAUACUCCUGACUGACCGAUAGUGAACCAGUACCGUGAGGGAAAGGCGAAAAGAACCCCGGCGAGGGGAGUGAAAAAGAACCUGAAACCGUGUACGUACAAGCAGUGGGAGCACGCUUAGGCGUGUGACUGCGUACCUUUUGUAUAAUGGGUCAGCGACUUAUAUUCUGUAGCAAGGUUAACCGAAUAGGGGAGCCGAAGGGAAACCGAGUCUUAACUGGGCGUUAAGUUGCAGGGUAUAGACCCGAAACCCGGUGAUCUAGCCAUGGGCAGGUUGAAGGUUGGGUAACACUAACUGGAGGACCGAACCGACUAAUGUUGAAAAAUUAGCGGAUGACUUGUGGCUGGGGGUGAAAGGCCAAUCAAACCGGGAGAUAGCUGGUUCUCCCCGAAAGCUAUUUAGGUAGCGCCUCGUGAAUUCAUCUCCGGGGGUAGAGCACUGUUUCGGCAAGGGGGUCAUCCCGACUUACCAACCCGAUGCAAACUGCGAAUACCGGAGAAUGUUAUCACGGGAGACACACGGCGGGUGCUAACGUCCGUCGUGAAGAGGGAAACAACCCAGACCGCCAGCUAAGGUCCCAAAGUCAUGGUUAAGUGGGAAACGAUGUGGGAAGGCCCAGACAGCCAGGAUGUUGGCUUAGAAGCAGCCAUCAUUUAAAGAAAGCGUAAUAGCUCACUGGUCGAGUCGGCCUGCGCGGAAGAUGUAACGGGGCUAAACCAUGCACCGAAGCUGCGGCAGCGACACUAUGUGUUGUUGGGUAGGGGAGCGUUCUGUAAGCCUGUGAAGGUGUGCUGUGAGGCAUGCUGGAGGUAUCAGAAGUGCGAAUGCUGACAUAAGUAACGAUAAAGCGGGUGAAAAGCCCGCUCGCCGGAAGACCAAGGGUUCCUGUCCAACGUUAAUCGGGGCAGGGUGAGUCGACCCCUAAGGCGAGGCCGAAAGGCGUAGUCGAUGGGAAACAGGUUAAUAUUCCUGUACUUGGUGUUACUGCGAAGGGGGGACGGAGAAGGCUAUGUUGGCCGGGCGACGGUUGUCCCGGUUUAAGCGUGUAGGCUGGUUUUCCAGGCAAAUCCGGAAAAUCAAGGCUGAGGCGUGAUGACGAGGCACUACGGUGCUGAAGCAACAAAUGCCCUGCUUCCAGGAAAAGCCUCUAAGCAUCAGGUAACAUCAAAUCGUACCCCAAACCGACACAGGUGGUCAGGUAGAGAAUACCAAGGCGCUUGAGAGAACUCGGGUGAAGGAACUAGGCAAAAUGGUGCCGUAACUUCGGGAGAAGGCACGCUGAUAUGUAGGUGAGGUCCCUCGCGGAUGGAGCUGAAAUCAGUCGAAGAUACCAGCUGGCUGCAACUGUUUAUUAAAAACACAGCACUGUGCAAACACGAAAGUGGACGUAUACGGUGUGACGCCUGCCCGGUGCCGGAAGGUUAAUUGAUGGGGUUAGCGCAAGCGAAGCUCUUGAUCGAAGCCCCGGUAAACGGCGGCCGUAACUAUAACGGUCCUAAGGUAGCGAAAUUCCUUGUCGGGUAAGUUCCGACCUGCACGAAUGGCGUAAUGAUGGCCAGGCUGUCUCCACCCGAGACUCAGUGAAAUUGAACUCGCUGUGAAGAUGCAGUGUACCCGCGGCAAGACGGAAAGACCCCGUGAACCUUUACUAUAGCUUGACACUGAACAUUGAGCCUUGAUGUGUAGGAUAGGUGGGAGGCUUUGAAGUGUGGACGCCAGUCUGCAUGGAGCCGACCUUGAAAUACCACCCUUUAAUGUUUGAUGUUCUAACGUUGACCCGUAAUCCGGGUUGCGGACAGUGUCUGGUGGGUAGUUUGACUGGGGCGGUCUCCUCCUAAAGAGUAACGGAGGAGCACGAAGGUUGGCUAAUCCUGGUCGGACAUCAGGAGGUUAGUGCAAUGGCAUAAGCCAGCUUGACUGCGAGCGUGACGGCGCGAGCAGGUGCGAAAGCAGGUCAUAGUGAUCCGGUGGUUCUGAAUGGAAGGGCCAUCGCUCAACGGAUAAAAGGUACUCCGGGGAUAACAGGCUGAUACCGCCCAAGAGUUCAUAUCGACGGCGGUGUUUGGCACCUCGAUGUCGGCUCAUCACAUCCUGGGGCUGAAGUAGGUCCCAAGGGUAUGGCUGUUCGCCAUUUAAAGUGGUACGCGAGCUGGGUUUAGAACGUCGUGAGACAGUUCGGUCCCUAUCUGCCGUGGGCGCUGGAGAACUGAGGGGGGCUGCUCCUAGUACGAGAGGACCGGAGUGGACGCAUCACUGGUGUUCGGGUUGUCAUGCCAAUGGCACUGCCCGGUAGCUAAAUGCGGAAGAGAUAAGUGCUGAAAGCAUCUAAGCACGAAACUUGCC